GCCAUAUCUACUGAAAAUCACCGGAACCCAUCAGAACUCAGAAGUUAAACCAGUAUGAGCUUAAUCAGUACUAAGAAUGGAGACUACUUGGGA
rnacentral:rRNA from 1 species